GAUGAACGCUGGCGGCGUGCCUAAUACAUGCAAGUCGAGCGAACGGACGAGAAGCUUACUUCUCUGAUGUUAGCGGCGGACGGGUGAGUAACACGUGGAUAACCUACCUAUAAGACUGGGAUAACUUCGGGAAACCGGAGCUAAUACCGGAUAAUAUUUUGAACCGCAUGGUUCAAAAGUAAAAGACGGUCUUGCUGUCACUUAUAGAUGGAUCCGCGCUGCAUUAGCUAGUUGGUAAGGUAACGGCUUACCAAGGCAACGAUGCAUAGCCGACCUGAGAGGGUGAUCGGCCACACUGGAACUGAGACACGGUCCAGACUCCUACGGGAGGCAGCAGUAGGGAAUCUUCCGCAAUGGGCGAAAGCCUGACGGAGCAACGCCGCGUGAGUGAUGAAGGUCUUCGGAUCGUAAAACUCUGUUAUUAGGGAAGAACAUAUGUGUAAGUAACUGUGCACAUCUUGACGGUACCUAAUCAGAAAGCCACGGCUAACUACGUG
rnacentral:rRNA from 1 species